GCGGGUGUAGCUCAAUGGUAGAGCCCCAGCCUUCCAAGCUGGCCAUGCCGGUUCGAUCCCGGUCACCCGCUCCG
rnacentral:tRNA from 2 species